GUGACUGCGUACCUUUUGUAUAAUGGGUCAGCGACUUAUAUUCUGUAGCAAGGUUAACCGAAUAGGGGAGCCGGAGGGAAACCGAGUCUUAAUUGGGCGUUAAGUUGCAGGGUAUAGACCCGAAACCCGGUGAUCUAGCCAUGGGCAGGUUGAAGGUUGGGUAACACUAACUGGAGGACCGAACCGACUAAUGUUGAAAAAUUAGCGGAUGACCUGUGGCUGGGGGUGAAAGGCCAAUCAAACCGGGAGAUAGCUGGUUCUCCCCGAAAGCUAUUUAGGUAGCGCCUCGUGAAUUCAUCUCCGGGGGUAGAGCACUGUUUCGGCUAGGGGGCCAUCCCGGCUUACCAACCCGAUGCAAACUGCGAAUACCGGAGAAUGUUAUCACGGGAGACACACGGCGGGUGCUAACGUCCGUCGUGAAGAGGGAAACAACCCAGACCGCCAGCUAAGGUCCCAAAGUCAUGGUUAAGUGGGAAACGAUGUGGGAAGGCCCAGACAGCCAGGAUGUUGGCUUAGAAGCAGCCAUCAUUUAAAGAAAGCGUAAUAGCUCACUGGUCGAGUCGGCCUGCGCGGAAGAUGUAACGGGGCUAAACCAUGCACCGAAGCUGCGGCAGCGACGCUGAUGCGUUGUUGGGUAGGGGAGCGUUCUGUAAGCCUGUGAAGGUGGCCUGUGAGGGUUGCUGGAGGUAUCAGAAGUGCGAAUGCUGACAUAAGUAACGAUAAAGCGGGUGAAAAGCCCGCUCGCCGGAAGACCAAGGGUUCCUGUCCAACGUUAAUCGGGGCAGGGUGAGUCGACCCCUAAGGC
rnacentral:rRNA from 1 species